AGAAAAACGACACUCUAGUUAUAGUCCUUGGAGAGUAAGCAGCACACUAAGACUCCCUUGCAGAAAAAGACCACCAAAGAAAAUUUCGGAACAUUCUUCAAAUGCUUCAUAAACAUGUGGCCCCAUUACUGAAAUUCAAGUCUAUGUAAAUUAAAUGUCUUGCUUAAGGGCAGGCCUGCAAAUACUAAGCUGAGCACCUGACACUACACAGCUAAAUACGCCGAAAUAUGUAUCAAAUAUACAAAUAAAAGCAAACAACCAAGA